rnacentral:rRNA from 1 species
UACGUAGGUGACCAGCGUUGUCCGGAUUUACUGGGCGUAAAGAGCGCGCAGGCGGUCGUUCAAGUCGAGUGUGAAAGCCCCCGGCUCAAUUGGGGAGGGUCAUUCGAUACUGAUCGACUCGAAGGCAGGAGAGGGAAGCGGAAUUCCCGGUGUAGUGGUGAAAUGCGUAGAUAUCGGGAGGAACACCAGUGGCGAAGGCGGCUUCCUGGCCUGUUCUUGACGCUGAGGCGCGAAAGCUAGGGGAGCAAACGGG